CGGGGCGGGACUACGCGGUGACGUCGAGGUGCGCGGCGCAGCGCGUGGCGUCAGUCUUGGCUGGCAGACCUGUACUCCGUACUCGGUAGUCGCAGCGGCGCGGUCUUCGGCAGUCUGGUCAUCCACCGCCAUCCUGGGCCCCACGUGUUGCCUGACCAUUCCUGAGCCCAGGUGGGAGCCGUGGCUGAGGUGAUGGUCUCAAAGUGGAAGAGCUUACUGUCACAGCAACUCCUUUGCAAGAUGCCCCGGUAAAUCACGUUGCAGAGACCCCAACUCUGCCUUCCUGGAACUAGGCCUGCGUUUUCUCUGAACCAUUAUUUCAUGGGGAAAAUGAAAUCUACUUCAUGUGCCUGGUCUACUUACUCCUUCAGAAGUGAUUUCUGAGCCGUAAGAUACAUGAGAAAAAAAUGAAGGGGAAAAGGCAGUAUUUAUAUUAACUACAUGAUGAUAAGGAUGUUUCUGGUCACAGUGAAAAGCCAUGCUAGAAUUGUAGUGUCAUAGAAUAAUGUGGAAUUUUAGUUCGUGUUGUCUGAUCUAUUUAAUAAUUUAAUAAGACACCUUCCCUUCUUCCUCAGCCAGAAAGGAUCUUUCCCUGAGAGUCAUCAGUAGCUCUGGGCUCCUGGAACCAAGCUCAGGUGCCUAGUUGAACUCUGGUCUCUUCCCACAGCCCCCAGCAGGGACUGGUGCUUAGUGAGAGUGGACUGCCAGAUUCCUUGAGUGUGGGGGAUUUGGGUGAAUGAGGGUAGCAAGCCUCCAGCGUGCUUGGGUCUGCGGUGACCCUAUGCAUUCCUUCAGUGCUUGCUAGAACAGUUUUGAAACGGUUUGAGGCCUUGCCCUGCUCCAUCCAGAGCAAGGUUAUAGAAAUUUCAGACAAUGACUUCCUCCCUCCUGGAUCUAGUGUGCUGGGCCUUGUAUAGAUCUGUGCCAUCUAAUGUGGUAGGCACUUGGCACGCAUGAGUUCUAUUUCAUUUUCACACUAGCCACAUUUCAGAUGAUCAGUAGCCACAGGUGGCCAGUGGCUACCAUAUUGGACCACACAGAUUAGAGGGCAUUUCUGUCGCUGUGGAAGUUGUUUUGGACAAUGCUGGUGUGAAAGGUGAAGGGAAUCCUGAGUGUUUGCUGCGCUCCAGGCUCAGUACAAAUUUUAUUUUAUUAUACACUUAAAGCAAAAGUCUUAUAAAAGUUGAGGAUGAAGCCAAGAGAGGUGGUAAGGGUAGGAGUUGAAACAGUGAAGAGGAAUAACAGGGAAGAGUCCUGCCCUGAGAGACUCAUGGAAUAGGAUAUUUACAAGGCAAAGCAAAGAGAACCAAAGUCUCAGUUCUGCAGAGGAGCUGAGUGCCCCAGGAGCUAGUGGAGGGUGAGGUCAAUGUGUGCUCAUCUUAAAGGAAAAACUCAUGGAAGAGGAAGGUGCUAAUGUUGUUGAACACCUAUUUUGCGCCAAACCUCUUAAUUGUUUUAAAUAUCUGAGGUAUCACCAUGAGGUCGUUUUUAAGUUCAGUACAGAUGAGGGGCCCAGGGUCAGAAUUAUGUGUCCAGGGUUGCCCAGCCACAAACCAGCAGAUCAGGGUUUGAUGCCAGGCCUCUCUAAUCCUGCAGCCUGAGUGGAAUAUAGAAGCCGGUGGGAAGUUUGGAUGGGAAGGAGAUGGAUGCCUUCAAGUUCUUGUCUUGGUGUUAGGUGUGUUAAAGGACUGGCUGGGAUGAGAAGAGUGUUGCUGGCUUGAGCAUAGCACGAGCAGCACAGCUCCUGUGUUCCUCUGGGUGGUGGGGUCACCUCUCUUAAAGGUAGAGGCUUCCAGCUGAUUGUGUCUUUUCAGGCCAAGAAUAGUUGCUGAACACCCCAGGCCUGCUGAGGUCCCUCCUUGAGUCUCAUGUUCAAGCAGUCUUGUGAGUAAAGCACUGGCUACCCCUUUUCACUUACUAUCUUUUCAAGCAUGUUCUACCGCCUUGGAAGGUAAGAGGUUAGUACCUUCUUCUAGAGCAGAGGGCAGGCAUUCUUGCUGUGCGUUGUGAAAGGGUAGAGUCCUGCGCUCCUUUCUUGUAGUAGUCCAAUGGCCCAUGCAGGUGCCUCUGACUCCCCUAUGGGAACUGGGGCUUGGGAGGGUGGUGGAAAAUGCUGAUGCUCUGGCUAUUGCUAUUGUCUUGAAUAAUCAGUGGUCCCUUGUCCCUAAUCGAGGAAUUUUGUAUUUUCUACCAGUGUCCAUGAAACUGGGAGGCGACCGUGUUAGCUGCCACUUCCUGACAGCCACCUCUCACCAGUGGCUUCACUCUGUGUCCCUGACCCAGCACAUGGCACAAGAGUGCCUGCCAUCCCUCAGUGUUUCUACAGCAGCAAUCCCGAGAUGCCGGAGCUAGAGGGGACCUGACCUGAGAGAAGAUACCUUCAGUGGCUGCCAGGCUGUUCCUUGGAACCUGUGCAGGGAUGAGGCCUGCCUGUGUUAAUACACCUAGUGAGGAGUGGAGCUGAAUUUGAAUGCAAGCCUUGGCACCUUAAUUGAGCAAGUUUGAAACCUCGCUUGUUGCCCUUCUGGAAGGAGUCAGGAAUUUCCAGUUCUGGGCCUGGGCUGUGGGUCUGACAGACAGACCUCUGGCCCUAGGUUUGGGUGCCAGGUUCUCUUCUUCCAGAAUGAGAAGCUUUGCCGUGCACCAGGACCUGGGCCCUUCUGGUAUCUCCUGAAUGAAAAACAAGGGAUAUUUAAUAAAUAUGGAUUUAAAUAUGUGA